ensembl:lncRNA
GAUCUCUCUCUCUCUCUCUCUCUCUCUCUCUCUCUCUCUCUCUCUCUCUCUCUCUCUCUCCUUUGGUCAUCACCUCUCUCCUGCUCGCUAACUCUCUUCCCCUUCAACCCUGCCAUAAAGGACGAUAAUUUAAAUUUUGGCAGUGAAUCAUGACAUUUAUUCAACUGGUCUCCAAACCACGAGAAGCUGGGUCUUACACUGUUCAGAACAAGCAAUAGCAAAGAGCAGUUCAGCGAGGAAAGGGUUAAUCGGGAUAGCUUUGAAUUCAUGGCCAUCCUGUCUCUGCCUGAAACUACAGGUUUUUAUAAUUGGACGUGCCGGUGCCGGCCUCUUAUAUCAUCAGUUGGAAGUGGGCAUAGAGAUCGGUUUAAGGCAAACCUCAAUGAAUUUGAGGCUAGCCUGAAAUAUAUGAGUCCCUGCCUCUAAAACAAAAACAAAAAAACAAAAAAACAAAAAACAACAACCAAAACCCAGAACCAAAGGCCCAAUCCCAGGGAAGAAGAAGCCGCCUAUCUUUACGCCUUUCUCUUCAGUCAAUGUGGUCAACUUCUCCAAGGCCAAGUCAGAGAUGCUGCCUCCUGUGGGGCAGAUGAACAAGUAAAAGACUUCUCUUGGUACCAGAAGAGUAGAGUGGGGGUUGAGGGGGGAAGUGGGUGGUCUCGUCCACUUACCUUAUUUUUUGUUUGUUAUUUUUCAUCAUUCCCUAUGAAGACCAGGGAGGCAUUCAGGAGGAGUUUGAACAGGUAACUCCCGCCCAAGCCAAGGCUCGGGAACUAGCUCUGGCCCUGGGAAGGAAGACUACGUGUUGAGCUUGCUUUCAAUAGAUGGCAUGCCCAGGACAACAGAAGGAGCAGACAAGCAGAAGCCAGGGUUCACAGUUCACUGAUGGGAGCUGGAGAAGCAGCAGCCUCCUCGGCUUCCUUACCUAGAGCUCAGUUUUGGUCCCUUCUCCACAGCCUGCUUCAGGCUCUACUUGUGGCCUCUCUGAGCUCCUACAUGGAGAGCGCACUUCAUAAGGCCUCUUACAAAGCUGCAUUCGGUGCUUGAAUCAAACACCCUGCUGCUCACACUUGGCGUUUACUCCUAAACUGUUCCAGGUUAUUCCAGAAGGGAACUUUUGGGAUCUCAGCGCGG